rnacentral:rRNA from 1 species
GAGUUUGAUCCUGGCUCAGAUUGAACGCUGGCGGCAGGCCUAACACAUGCAAGUCGAGCGGAUGACGGGAGCUUGCUCCUUGAUUCAGCGGCGGACGGGUGAGUAAUGCCUGGGAAUCUGCCUGGUAGUGGGGGACAACGUUUCGAAAGGAACGCUAAUACCGCAUACGUCCUACGGGAGAAAGCAGGGGACCUUCGGGCCUUGCGCUAUCAGAUGAGCCUAGGUCGGAUUAGCUAGUUGGUGGGGUAAUGGCUCACCAAGGCGACGAUCCGUAACUGGUCUGAGAGGAUGAUCAGUCACACUGGAACUGAGACACGGUCCAGACUCCUACGGAGGCAGCAGUGGGGAAUAUUGGACAAUGGGCGAAAGCCUGAUCCAGCCAUGCCGCGUGUGUGAAGAAGGUCUUCGGAUUGUAAAGCACUUUAAGUUGGGAGGAAGGGCAGUAAGUUAAUAACCUUG